UAAUGACAUAUUUCAUUAAUAUUGGUGUGGAAGAACAUCAUAGACCUAUACAAAAUGACAAAAUCCCCUGUUAUGAGAUCAACUUGGAGAAUACAUAUCCACAGCCCUAUACAAAAUCACAUCAUCACUGUAAAUAGAAGAUUUUUGCAGUUACAAUAUGAUGCCUGCAUUCACGGUUACAAAACUAAGACUAAAUACCAUAACCACUUCCACUUGUCAAAAUACAUAAGAAUUUCCAUUUACAAAUCCAUCACCACAUGCAAUACACAAAAUACAAAAGUUUAAAUCAUUCUUCUUUAGUUUGUUGAAGGGUGACCAUCUUUAGUUUGUCUUGGACUUUUGAAUGGCCGUGUCUUCUUCUGUGAACACAAAGUUACCAUUUUUCACAUCAGUAAUUUGAAAAUGAAAGUUUGAAAAAAUACAUUUAUAUUGAUUUGUUUAAGUUAUCACACUACCCUUGCUGUCAUCUUGGCUCUUGUAGGCCUAACUUAUUGGGAGGUGAUUGGUGCAUUGGGUAUUGGCUGUGAUGCACUGUCCAUCAUGUUCCCUUUGGUUCUUUUUCUUGAAAAGUUUUCAAAUGCCCACCAAAAAUGUAAUGAGAUAUGAAAAAUGCUAUAAAGAGACUUUAUCAUGUCCAAAUUAUGCUUUUUUUGGUUGUAGCGAAUACCUCAGAUCUUGGAGUUGGCUGUGAGCUUGGAGCUUACUUAUAUUGCCUUUCACCCUGACUAUUGGAAAAACCAUGCAAACCCUUAGCUUGUUUCCUUUUCCUGACUCUCCUUUAUCCAGGUGUUUCACCUAUCCAGUAGCAGUGCAACCCCUUACAAUGUGUCCUUCUUUUCCACAAUUACCACAAGUCAUUUUAGUCCCUGCCCUCGAAACCCUGAAUGGAUUUCUUACUUCAUCAAGCUAUCUAAUUCUCUUCUUUCUGGGUUUUCCUACUGUUUUCCUUACAAUUGGAGGAUAUAUGUCAUUCAAUUUUGUUCUUUCCCAUUCCUCUUUACUUGGCACAGGAUAUUUGACAUGUUUGUAAACUGCCAAGCAAAUAUACUUAAGAUAAUAACUAUGCCCAUAAUCCUCUGGCUUCUCCUUGUUAGCAUAUAUUGCAGAAAUGCUAUGCUUACAUGGGAUUCUUAACAAAUCCCAUGUUCUACAGCUGCAACUGUGUGAAUUGAGGUCAAUAAAAUGUUGAGCGUCAUAGAAAUUAACUUGAUAUCUCCUUUCCCCACAAGGUGUGCAAAAAUAAUUCCUUGCUUCGUAUUUGUAUUUCUUCAGUAAGUCUUGAAUGUUAGGACAUAUAUCACCCUCAUACCUCAACAUCCCACUAUAUUUGACAUGAAAACAUUUCAUUAAUCUACUUCUUAUCCAUUCAAGCAUGCUCAAUAUUUGCAUGUCCCUAGUAGGCUUGAUCAAUGAAUUAAAGCUCUCAUUAAUGUUAUUCUAAAGUGCAUCACAUUUGGUGCUAGUUGAGAAAAAUGCCCUUGUCCAACGCCUUGCAUCUUUGUUCGGUAGCCAAUCAUGAGCAUUAACAUCAAAAUCCUUGAUUGCACUUAAUGCAGUAUUAAAGGAUUUCUCUGUCCCAGCACCUGCAGCAUACCACAUCUUGUUCUUGUAUUCCAAGCCUCUAUAUAACUUUUUGUAGUUUUCAUAUAGAUGCUUGACACAAUGUCUAUAAUCCACACCUGGCAUCAACUCAUUAAAAGCCGCAACCAAUCCCUACAUAAAACAGAGUAUUAAAAAUAUCAACAUAUUUAAUACAAAUAUAAAUGCAAAAUUAUAAUGAUAGUUAAUAUGCAUACAAAAUAGAGCAUGUGUGAUUCUCAUACCUUUUCUUGGUCUAAAAUGAAAACCCAACCUGUUUCAGGAGGAUGCCCAAAGUCUUCAAAUAGAUUGGUUAUAAACCACCUCUAAGAUUUCUUGCAUUCUAUAUUAACAGUAGCAAUAGCAAUUGGAAAAAGAUUCUCAUUUCCAUCCCUUCCAAUAGCACACAAGUGUUUUCUUCCCAUUGAGGUCUUCAAGUGACAGCCAUCUAAACCAAUAAUGGGUCUCAAACCAGCUAAAAACCUUUUUUCUUUGCAUUCAACUUGAUAUGCAUAUAUUGGAAGAUAGGGACUAGAUUUUUUAUGCUACUUUGAGGUUGCUCAUUUUCCACUUCUAAACCCACAAUAAGUGUGUCAUAUAACUGUUUAUCCAUAACAUUACACUCAAUUUUAACACAUGAACCUGGAUUAUUUGCCCUUAUUAUGGCAGCAUAAUCAUGAAGUCUAGUGUCUUGCAAUUUCACAUCACCUUCAAUUAUCUUCUUCGUUUUCCUUUUAGCUCUGUAGCGUGCUUGCAGUGACACCUCUGCUCCUACCUCCCUUUGAAUCCUCUUUCUCGUUGCAGUGACAUCCCAAUCAUGAUUAUACCUCAAAUUAUUUAAAUAUUUCUUUGCCAAGUAUUGAGAGUUCACUAAAUUGUUUUCAAAAUGCCUAGGAUAUUCAUGCUUGUGUUUGAAGCUUUUAAUUUGGGAUGCGGUACUCCUCCCCAUUAAAGAAGCAUGCUACCUAAACACAUACUUAUCUUUACAUAUUAUAAUAAUCCUCUUACUGCUAUUCUUCAAAUAAAUGUAACUAAAUCCCCUUCUAAGAGCCCAUUCCUUAAAUUUCAUGCCCUCACAUAAUUAUGGAUCAUGCAUUCCAUUUGUCACAUCAAAAUCUGGAUGCACCUCAUUUUCAUCAUCACUCCCUUGAAUGCUAUGCAACUCCUUAUUAUCUUCUGCUACUUCAUUGAAUUUUGCAAAAUCUUCUUUAUUCAAAUCAUUACUUCCACUUUCCCUUGGAAUUGAUUCAGAUUGUUACUUUCUGUCAACAUUCAUAGUUGAAUCACCUACUGGGACAUUGAUGAAAAUGUCAUUGUCACUUCCCUCCAUAUUGUCAUACAACCAGCUUGCCUCACUACAACUAGAAUGAUUAGAAUCAACAUUAGAUGAAAAUUGCUCCCCCCACACAAGUUCAUAUUCACUCCCACUAAAGUCAUCAGUCCAAACCUCAGUUUCAUCUUAAUGAUUUACCCCAUCCUUACAUCAUCAAACACAUUUUCUCCUUCCCUUCCAUUAAUUUUCACUCUCUCUACAUUUGUAGCAUCUUUUCCCUUUACAAAUUCAUUUGAAUUGGAAUCUACUACAGAAGCACCCAUGUCUCUAUUAUUUGCAUCUAAAUUUAUCACAUCAGAAGCAUCAAACAAAGUAAUAGGGACCACUGCUUCUACUAGGUACACUUCAAUGUCUCCCUUCCCUUUGUUAUAAUCUAACAUGUUUGCAACAUUUGCAUCAUUCAACACUUCUUCAUAACUUUCUGGCCCAGAUAACCCAGAUAUCUUGAACCAAAUUUGAGCUCCAUUUUUGUAUCCCAACUCUUUAGGAUACCCAAGAAUUUCAAUCAUUGAUAGAUAAUCGAUGUCAAUAUCACUGUAAUAUGCAAUUCGUCUCACUCAUAUACCAUUUUAUCCCUACUCUGCCAAUGCCCCCCAUGGUAGAUUUCCAAAGUAACAAUUCCAGUCAUUUUCCCUUGUCAAAUGCAUGCACAUAUUUAGAUACACAAUAAGGUAUAAUUUGUAUCUACCAAAACUAAAUCAAAAUUCAUUCACCUUCAUAUUUAAAACCCAUUAUGUAAGUGUAAAAGAGAACAUAUAACAGUUUAAUAACUACCAGUAAACACAAUCCACAACCAAAACCCGAUUACUGUACAACCCCCUUUCGCAACCCAACCCAAAUACCAUCGCAUCCAAAUACAGACCCAAACUCGAUAUGCAUUUAAGAAAAUUGAAUAAAAUAUUUAAAAACAUACCUUCACCCUCGCGUAACAGUAAGAAUUCUUGAAAGGGAGAGGAUUGCCCCCACACUUUGUCCAAAAACACCAAAUUUGUGCUCAAAUUGUAAUACCCUUGCAAAUAAUUGCCCUAUUUUUACGAUUAAUCAAAGAAAUCAAUGGAUGUAAUAAGAAAAAUUUGGGAAAUUUGAUUUAGACAUUUAGAAGAGGAGUUGAUAGGGUUUAGAGAGAAA
rnacentral:misc_RNA from 1 species